GAUGAACGCUGGCGGCGUGCCUAAUACAUGCAAGUCGAGCGAACGGACGAGAAGCUUGCUUCUCUGAUGUUAGCGGCGGACGGGUGAGUAACACGUGGAUAACCUACCUAUAAGACUGGGAUAACUUCGGGAAACCGGAGCUAAUACCGGAUGAUAUUUUGAACCGCAUGGUUCAAAAGUGAAAGACGGUCUUGCUGUCACUUAUAGAUGGAUCCGCGCUGCAUUAGCUAGUUGGUAAGGUAACGGCUUACCAAGGCAACGAUGCAUAGCCGACCUGAGAGGGGGAUCGGCCACACUGGAACUGAGACACGGUCCAGACUCCUACGGGAGGCAGCAGUAGGGAAUCUUCCGCAAUGGGCGAAAGCCUGACGGAGCAACGCCGCGUGAGUGAUGAAGGUCUUCGGAUCGUAAAACUCUGUUAUUAGGGAAGAAUAUAUGUGUAAGUAACUGUGCACAUCUUGACGGUACCUAAUCAGAAAGCCACGGCUAACUACGUG
rnacentral:rRNA from 1 species